AGUGAUUCGGCCUUAGGAAGGGAAGUCCGAUCGGCAGGAACCUGGCACCCGAGGAGGAAAGGAUCGAGCUCGUCACCCUGCGGCAGUCCGAGUGGACGUCUUUCAGGAGAAUCACGAGAGUUUUUGAGGAUCCUGAAAGUGUAUGUUUAUUUGCACGAGUUCAAUAAGAAUCUCCUUUCCUUGUGAGAAGACUAAUUAAGAACACUGGUUAUACUGCCAGGGCUUUGACUGGAAUGUCAUACCUGAGAGACAUGUGCAUGGACUCAGAUGUGAACAACUUUAAGGAACUAAGAUUGACUUUAUAAAGCCAACAAAGCCCCUUGGAAGAACUGGCCUGGUACCUUGCUUACAGAGUUCCCAGCAGCCUUACCGGGUGAGUAAGGAAGGUCACUUCCUGGCAGGUGCAGAGACCUCGAGAAGAGAAGAAUUCAUCCAAAUCUACAGGUACUGCAGGCAAAGCCUGAUGGCAAGUCUGGCUUGGCUGUCUGGCCUCAAGAGGCCUUUAAAAGUUCAAUCUGAAACUCCUUACAAAAAGUUCCAGCAAAGCAUAUUUAAAAGAGCCUGUGUAAUCAAUUGCUCUUCUUGCUGCACUUGUGCAAAUAAUCAAGCCAGCUGUUAAUUAUUUUCUUAACCUGGUUACUUCUAAUAAAAAUGAGGGUGAUUUUAGAGAAAAGUAUUGUUUCAAUAACGCAGCCUCCUUCCAGAAUAGAAAAUCCAACUCCAGAUGUUGCUACAUAACCUAAUAACACAAUUUGUUUUAUCUUGCCUAGAAGCCACUAAACUGCAAAUAGUAAUAGAAACGAAAUCCAGAAUUGAAGUGCCAGCUUUCUGAGGCCCUCUCAACUGACCAGUGAUGGAGACCUAGCUGCACCCUUUACUGCGCCCCCUUCUCAGCACGAAGCAGCCAGAGCGGUCAUCGCCCCUUUUCCCUAGCAGCAGCUAGAGUCUCUAUCUGUAGA